rnacentral:rRNA from 1 species
UACGUAGGGUGCAAGCGUUAAUCGGAAUACUGGGCGUAAAGCGUGCGCAGGCGGUUAUGUAAGACAGUUGUGAAAUCCCCCGGGGCUCAACCUGGGAAUUGCAUCUGUGACUGCAUAGCUAGAGUACGGUAGAGGGGGAUGGAAUUCCGCGUGUAGGCAGUGAAAUGCGUAGAUAUGCGGAGGAACACCGAUGGCGAAGGCA